UCAACAGGAGUCCUAGAAACAGCCUUGUGGUUCCCUGAGAAUCUGUACUCCUUACUCCUAAACACCAACUCACUGAGGGGCCCUCACUUCCCCCUGGGCCCCAGUCUCCCCCAUACCAUAGCCACAGAAUCCUCUCAAAGGCACACUGUCCUUCUCUGUCCAGGAUCUCCUGCCCCAGAGACCUACUCAGUCCCAGGAGAGUGGUGGUCACUGGACCCUGGAUCCAACCUCUUUGGGGAGGACAGACAGCAGAGGCUCGGCUCCAGAUGCUGCCAUGUGACCAUUUAUGUCCUCCAGUAUCCGUGGCAUCCCUGGGACUCUCCACAUUGCUGUCUUUUUCCUCAGCAAGUGCCGUCUUGCCUUACAGUUUCAGCUCUGGCCCCAAGCUGAUGUGGCCUGGGUGGCUCAGGUCCUUCCUCAAGUAACCUGGAGUCUGGGCCACCUUCAAGCUUUGGAUUUUGAGUCCAUGUGGCUGAAGCUGCCAGUACCCGGAGCUGCUGGGCUUCAUUCUCUCCUGGGGAAUGCUCCUGCACACCCUGACCCAAGCUACCACAGCACCCUGUGAACCUGAGCUGUGAUCUCACUCUCCAGGUCUUGCUCUUCCUCUCUGGAAAAUGGGCACCAUGUGAGGCUCUCUCAGGGCAAAGCUCCGUGGAGCAACAGACUGAUGGCAGUGGCCCAGGGGAGGCUACCUGGCCACCUCUUGCAGCUGCCCUACAGGGUUUCCAAUUUCCCUCAAGUGCCUCCCUGGCUGGGCCGGAUCCCCAGCCGGAGGAAGGAUGAAACCAGGGGAGGGGGUAGACCCAGACAAUGUGCACAUUGAGCCCGUGCCAGGCCCAGUCAGGUUGGGCAGACAUUGUUGGGGCAGGCCUGGAGGGCCUGGGGCCUGGCAUUGAGGGGCAUUGGCUUACCUUGGUGACUCCUGGAGGCAUUUUCCUUUCCCUAAGGAUUAUAACUAAGACAAUGAUCAGGGCUGGCCUGAGGUAUGGCCUGGUGUUUUUAGGCAGGAGAGGCUGUGUGUUUUGCAGUCAGUGUGUCCCUGUGACAAUGCAAUGGACAAGAGCAACAGUAACCAGCCAUCAACAACAAGGGCAGGAAUAACAGUAAGCAGUCAUUGAGGACCAUGCCUCCAUACAGCCUAUGGGCCCCCAGACUGCAGCCCGACUUCACAGACAGUAAACUGAGUGUGCAAGAAGAAAGCCUUUGUCUGACCCCUUUGAAGGCUCUGGAGGACCAGUAGCAGGCAGAGGGCAGCGGGCAAUGCCUGCAGGUGCCAGUGUCCCAUCGUUCAUAUUCCUGGAGGGCGAGUGUUGGAUGCUUUCCAUUUGACACAUGGGAGCUGUAAGAACAGAGAGGCCAAGUGGCUUACCUAAGCCACAGAGUAGCAAAUGGCUGGACUAGGGUCAAGUGGCCCUGAGGUCUUAGCAAUGGGUCACUCUCCAGCAGGAAUGCACUGUGCACAUUUUGAAGAUGGAAAACAAGGCUCCCAGAGGUGAGGCAUGAUGGACCUCGUGGAACUGGACACAGGAAAUGCACAGGGCUGACUACUGUCACCCAGGCCAGGCCCCUGCAGGAGGUGUGGGAGACCCCCCUGUGCCUGUGACCUAUGCCCCAGCCUCUGUGUUUACCCACCCUGAGACCCAGGAUGCUCUUCCGCCUGCCCGGGAGUCUCAGGCCCUUCACAAUAGCAUCUCUGUCUACUGGUUUUCAUUCAAGCCCUUGGUGCUAAA